CCGCGCCGCCGCGUGGAGCCCGACUCUCCUGGCCGGCUGGCUGGCUGGCUCUCGGCGUUGUGCGCAACAGAAUGGUUCAGCAAGUUCCAGAAGACAUCAGUGUUCCUGCUGAAGAAGAGAAAAUCUUGCAGUUCUGGUCCAAAUUUAAUUGUUUUCGGGAACGUUUAAAGCAAUCAAAACAUAGGCCCAAGUGGGUCUUUAACAACUGUGAUAAAGGCCUUGUUUACAGAGGUGUGAAAGCCAUGCCUUUCUCCACCACGUGAAGCACUCCCUUUUCUAACUUCAAAUCACACCAGAAUUACAAGGACGCUGACAAAAAUUUCAUCAGGAUCUUGGAGGAACAGGGCCGACUUCUUCUUGCCAGUACCUUCACUCACAGCUGCCCUUCCUGCUGGAGGAGAGAGGAGAGACUUUUGUAGCUGGAGCUUCAAGUUUGUGGAUAUACUUGUGUGUGCCAUGCCUUCAUGUUUGUGGUGUCCAUCGCUUGGCUGUCCUGUACAGUUAGUGUCAGAAAUUGCUCUCUUACCACAUUUUGAGUUUUAUGAAUGCGUGAAGCUGUCUCUUUCCUCAGGAGUUGUGCGACAAAAAGACAUACAGAAAUCUGUUUUGUGCUGUGGCCACGUUUUUUUAGGAUGAGCAUCAUCUCUGAAAUUUUACAGUGGAAUUUAUUGAGAAGUUAGUAUAUCGAGUGUAAAUACCCAGAUGGAAAUAUAACAUUCAGCACCCUGAAG